UAAUAGUUAAUGUAAAUAAAAAUGUCACGUCACAUAGUACGAUGGCACUAUACAGGGAAAACGGCUUCAAUAUAUUUUAUUUACUAGUUUAUAUAAAAGACAUUUCAGAAUCAAAUUAUAUACAUGUGUAACUGUGUUACACUUAAGUGGUACAGUCUGAAUCAAUUAUUAGGCCAAACAAACUUGUCCGAAAUCAAAUGAGACAGAAGAAGUGUUUGCUAUAUGUUAUUAUUACAUGUAAUCGCAGUAUUACUGUCAGGGCACUUGGUCUUGUGGCAGAUUCCAAUUUACACUUGGUCUUUUAUGGCACAUCUAGGUGAAUAAAUACAGGCGAUCGGGCUAUUAUUUUAGUAUCUGACAAUUGUGUCACUAGUUUAAAAAAUGUUAGUCGUCCGGGAAAUUGGCAUAAAUACUGAUAUUUAACGACAUCUAUUAAAAGUAAUUGCUUUUGACCCAGAAAAUUUACAGUUUCAUUUCCAUCACAUUCAUCCUAAACAUUACACCCAAUUAGAAAUGUUUGCACACAUUCAUUUUUUUUUGUCAAAUUGUUAUGUAAUUAUUUUGUUAAAAACUUGGCUUAUCGUAUACAGUAUAACCAAAUAUAUUAUGUCUUCUUGAAACAAACUUUAAGCCUCAUUGUUAUAUCAAUGGCAAUUCUGUACAUAUAUUUGAAAGUGGCGUUAAAUGGUUGAAUUUAAUCGUCGCACUGUAUGGCUAUUGGGCAUAGAAACCGUAAUAUUCCCUUUGAUGCUAUUUAUUAGCCAGCCUACUUACUUAGUAUACCUUUCGUUUCAGGAAGUAAACAUACAGUAAAAUCACGUUUCAGCGAGCACGUAGUACACAAACGAUUUAUUCUAAUAUUCUUAAAGUCUCGCUACAUUGCACUACUAUCUGGGUCAAGUACAUGCAGCCUGUUUGGAAAAUAGAGCAUAAAAUUAUUAUAAACAUGUUUACACUUUAUCGGGUAAAAUCAGCGAUGUAUAUUUCGAUUUCGAGGUCAGCGCUUUUAUAUUUUUAAUAAUGGAAUGGUCCGUUAUUUAGGUAUAGGUCGACCACUUUUUUUUGAGCCGUAACUGAUUUAUGCAGGACAGUUGAUCCGCCAAAAAAAGUAGGAACAUAUAUGUAAUACAUAGUAAAGCGGUAUAAGUUAUCGAUGAAUGUAAACGAAUGCAUGUCCCAAAGUAUAUGGCGUUGGCUUAACAAACUUUCUUUUCGAGGUUCGAGCCUUGGUAAGUUCACAUUUUUUUAAUCGUUUGUUUCAAUAAACAUUGCACGAGAAAAUUGUGCUGUUCAUUGAAUCGUUUAGUUAAUGAUGUGUUAGCUAGUCAAAAAUACUUGUCUGUUAAUCUUAGUUAUCGUUUAUUGGCUUCAACACGUCACAAAUAUAGUGAUGAUGCUCGUAAAAUCAUCAAAAAUGUUCAUUCAUUUUGCGUCGAGGAGAAGACAAGUAAUGGAUUGAAGAUCCAGUUGACUCGCAGUAUAGAGCUUGUUUCAACACUUACCUGUAUAAACCGUGCAACAGUGAAACGUGUUGCUGCAGAAUCGAGUGUACCUGCAUCAAAGAAGAUGGAAGAAACGAACCUUCGACGAAUUUGACAAUGGCGUUAUUCGGAUAACAGUCAGUACAAUGUAUGUUCAUCAGAAUAUUUUACCUACUCUAGAUCUGCAGAAUUUGAAAACAGCUCUUCGUAACAUCAUUGGCUAUUCUGCUGGUAAGGAAUACCUGCGUAAGCAUCUUCAGCAUCUAGGAUUUACUUACCAGCGAUGCAAGCAGAAUCGUAAGACUUUGAUGGAAUGAUCCGAUAUUAUUCUGCAGCGUAUAUCUUACCUCAGGAAGAUAAAGGCACUUGGAGAUGCGGGUCAUGCUGUUGUUUACACAGUAGCCAUUCAGUAACCAAAUGGCAGGACGAAUCAUCUGGUCUCUUUAUUCCAUUUUCAAAAGGGAGAGGAUGAUUAUCCUACAUGUAGGCUGUCACACAGGAUUCAUCGCAGGAGCAGAACUGGUAUUCAAAGCCAACAGUAGUUCCGGUGAUUACCACAUGGAAAUGAACACAAAGAACUUUACUAGAUGGCUCACGGAGAAGCUGAUACCGAAUAUACCUCCUAGUCUCUCCUAGUGAUGGAUAACGCUGCAUAUCACAACGUGCAAGUAGAUCGUUGUCGAGGAAAGCAGACAUAAAGGACAGGCUCAGAAGACACAACAUAUCUUUCUCAGACAACUAGUUGAAGUCGGAACUUAUUGCAUUCUGCAAACAACAAACAAACAAGCCUGAUCCAGUUUAUGUGGAUGACCAGUUACUAGCAACACAUGGUCACCAGGCGCUUCGACUGACUCCUUACCAGGCGGAUUUGAACCCCACUGAACUUAUUUGGGGCGUUUUAAAAGGCUACAUUGCACGUAAGAACUUGACGUUUAAGAUUGCCCAUGUGAAAGGACUUAUUACGGAAGGUUUGCAAACAGUUUCAUCUUCAGAUUAGUCUAGGUGUAUUGACCAGUUGAACAGAAAUACUGGGAGUUGGAUAUUGCUAUAGACGAUCUUCCAGCACCGGUGACCAUUGAGCUUAACUCGGAUUUAUAAAUUGAACUCUCAAACGUCAAAAUCAAACUAUAUUAGUUUUAAAAGCACAUUGCGUAGCUAUUUAGUAAGACUAGCCACCAGACUGAUAAUGAAGAAUUGGUCACAAGAUUUAAACUUUUAUUCUCUGUAAUAAUGACAAAUGUCAGUCUAUUUUAGAGUUUUUCUUGGAGAACUGUUUGUAAUAUUAUCAGUUUAGUAUCAUCCGAAAUGUUCUGGGAGAGUUGACUAUGGCUAUUAAAUUACCCCUAGAUAAUUUGGUACAUCAUGCCAGUGAUCAAGAGUUAUGAAGGUAGACAUUGAUAUGUUCAGUUAACAUUACUGGCUAGCGUCUUACAACCGGACACUUUUGUAAUAUUUUUCACGAUAAC